UACGUAGGGUGCGAGCGUUGUCCGGAAUUAUUGGGCGUAAAGAGCUCGUAGGCGGCUUGUCGCGUCGGAUGUGAAAGCCCGGGCUAACUCCGGGUCUGCAUUCGAUACGGGCAGGCUAGAGUUCGGUAGGGAGAAUGGAAUUCCCGGUGUAGCGGUGAAAUGCGCAGAGUAUCGGGAGGAACACCGGUGGCGAAGGCGGUUCUCUGGGCCUUACC
rnacentral:rRNA from 1 species